AUCACACAUAGGUAUAUUUAGACAGAAAGGGGUCCUCAUCACAGACACCCAAAUUAUGAGCACAUUACUGCCUCCUCUCCCCUAGAGGUGCUUCUUCCAGCCUCCCCCAUUGGAGGCCAGCACAAGACGGGCUCUCCAACCCAAUAUCUUCCCCUUCCCUCCUUCCUUUCUGCUCAGGUGGCUGAGUAUACACAUUGAACUCUUUUGUUUCAACUUCACGUGUAUAUAGGUUGGUGCAAAAGUAACUGUGGUGUUUUCCAUUAAAAGCAAUGUCAAGAACCGCAAUUACUUUGGCACCAACCUAAUAUGUAUGCAAGUACAUUCUUUAACCUUUCCAACUCCCAGUCCAAGCCAUCAGGCUAAUUUCCGCGUGGAAUUUGUGGUCACUGGUUUGCAGUCCUUUCAUUUCUGGUGUGGUCAGAAGUCUCCUUCAGACUCUUCCCGAUAAGUUGCCAUUGGCUUUUUCAUCACCUUUAG
rnacentral:lncRNA from 1 species